rnacentral:lncRNA from 1 species
GGUCAGUAAAAUAGCGGCGUACCUUCUCUGAGGGGAAGUGCAUAUGGACUUCUCCGGUUCCAAUGUAGAUGAUUGCUUUAACGGUGCUGAGGAACGAUCUUCCAAGGAUGAUGGGUGGAUCAUAUUCAUCUUCUCCCAUGUCAAUAACCUGAAAGUUUGUGUAGACAAAAUGAUCGUCUAUUUUGACUGGGACAUCAGUUACUGUUCCUUUAACUUCUCAAAAUGUCUGAUCUGCCAUCUGGAGCUGAAUGUAUGUUGGUUU